CCGCGGAGCCAUCGGGAGGUUCCGACCCUGGAGCCAUAAAAUGGUGGUUUUUUAGAUUAGAGCUGCAAUUUAAUUAGAGCUGAUUUCCAGGAACGCUGAUAGUGCUCCUGGCUCUGCCAAGUCCCAUUCAAAGGUCGUGUUCCCCAGCUGGCUCUUUGGUGCCAUUCGGGUUAAACCGACACCGUUCUGGUCAGUCAGGGAUCCCCAAACCUCGAGGGUGCUCCAGCCCUGUAUGGUUACUUAUGGGGCUGUGUCCUAGUCCAGUGGUGACAAUGCAAAGGGGAAGUUGAAGAUGAAAAAUUGCCUUCUCAGAUGGCCCAGAUUAGAUUUUCCACGGUGCUGUUGCAGUUUCCACUCUGCCCAAGUGACUCGACGCCACCUUUGCCAUCCCUCUUUCCUGUCUCCCGCAACACAGCUCCCAGACUUUUCCCUGAAGUGACCUGGGUCUCCUGCCACUCCUCCUGAACUCUGCUGACUACAAAGGGAGCCCAGAAUGACUCAUUUCACUGGAGGUGUCCAAAUUAAAUGCCAACACUACCUGAUGAACUCUACCUCCCCCUCUUCGAACCGAUUUUAAGACAUAAAAAAGAGCAAUUCCACCACCAGGUCAAAGAAACCCACGGGUUGUUUCACCGUUCUCUUCGCUGCUUCAGUUGGAGACUCGUUGAUGGAAGGGUGUUUGAUCUCCUUUUAGUCAUUGUCCCACUGGAAAAUCCAUUGUUUCCCUCCCUACUCAU